GACACAUUUUGACCAUAAAAACACUAACAAAAGUGUUUACUGCUUCUAAGCAAUGUUUUGUUGGUUUUAGCCUCUUUUGGGAGAAAAUAGGUAUUAAGUAUUGUCUAAAAACUCCUAAUCCAUUUCUAACUCUUAUAAUUAGUCACAUGCAUUGGAUUCUUACACAUUUUUACCAUAAAAACACUAACAAAACUGUUUAGAACUUCUAAGCAAUUUUUUAUUGGUUUUACCCUCUUUUGGGAGAAAAUGGGUAUAAGUGUUGUCCAAACACUCCUAAUCUAUCUUUAUCUCUUAUAAUAAAUCAAAUGCAUUGGAUUGUGACACAUUUAGAUCAUAGAAAACACUAACAAAGCUAUU
rnacentral:sRNA from 1 species